UUUUUUUUUGGAGGUUAUGUUUGAUAUCAUCACCCGGGAAGAAGUAAGUGUAUCCCUUAAAACAUAACUGAAAUUCUUAUAGAAUCGCGUUAGCACGUGUUAAAUUUUUACAGAAUAUAACGAUUUCGAAUAUGAAAUUUAGAAGUGCUCGUGUUCAUUGAUUUCGAUCGAUUAUUUUUACACAUUUUUCUCUCAGUUUGAAC